rnacentral:rRNA from 1 species
CCUACGGGGGGCUGCAGUGAGGAAUAUUGGUCAAUGGACGAGAGUCUGAACCAGCCAAGUAGCGUGAAGGAUGACUGCCCUAUGGGUUGUAAACUUCUUUUAUAUGGGAAUAAAACGUUCCACGUGUGGGAUUUUGUAUGUACCAUAUGAAUAAGGAUCGGCAAACUCCUUGCCAGCGACCGCGGUAAUACGGAGGAUCCGAGCGUUAACCGGAUUUAUUGGGUUUAAAGGGGGCGUAGGUGGAUUGUUCAGUCAGUUGUGAAAGUUUGCGGCUAAAACGUAAAAGUGCAGUUGAAACUGGCAGUCUUGAGUACAGUAGAGGUGGGCGGAAUUCGUGGUGUAGCGGGGAAAUGCUUAGAUAUCACGAAGAACUCCGAUUGCGAAGGCAGUUCACUGGACUGCAACUGACACUGAGGCUCGAAAGUGUGGGUAUCAAACAGGAUUAGAUACCCGUGUAGUC